UACGGGGGGAGCAAGCGUUGUUCGGAUUUACUGGGCGUAAAGGGCGCGUAGGCGGUCGUGACAAGUCACUUGUGAAAUCUCCGGGCUUAACUCGGAACGGUCAAGUGAUACUGUCGGACUAGAGUACAGAAGGGGCAACUGGAAUUCUCGGUGUAGCGGUGAAAUGCGUAGAUAUCGAGAGGAACACCAAUGGCGAAGGCAGCUUGCUGGGACGGUACUGACGCUGAGACGCGAAAGCGUGGGGAGCAAACAGG
rnacentral:rRNA from 1 species